UGCACUGAAAGUAAAGGGGCUGAAUAAUUUUGCACGCCCAAUUUUUCAGUUUUUGAUUUGUUAAAAAAGAGAAGCCUGGGCCCUGGAGUUGGAGAGGGCUCUCUCAAAGCAGACUCACAGAAUCCUCCACCAGGUGCAGACAUUUGAAGAACUCCUGAGGAGAGGGAAACUCAAACCGUUUGAGCAGAUGAAGGUAUUGUUCUGAUAUUUAUCUCCCUUGAGUCUUGCAAAUAGAGGAGCAUCUUCCAGUGCUAAAUAGCCACCAUUUUGUAUUAGUAAUGAUGUGAUGUAUCCCUUAGCUUCUCUGCCCCUAGCUUCUCCAGGGGCCGGAUUCUCUGGAAAGAGGUUAUCUAGCAGCACGAGAUGAACACAGAGUCCAACUGCAGAGAGUGGCUGAGCCCCUCUGACCCAGGGAGUUGGAGGGACGUAUAUCCAGUGUGGGAUGCGCUUGGAGGAGCUCAAAGAGCAGGUGGAGCAGACUGAACAGGACCGACCCACCUCAGAGGCCCCUCCCACUCUAACGCCUUACCCCACCCCCUACUCCAUGCCAGAAGGGGGCAGAGAGCACAUGCCACUCCCUGAGCUCUCUCUCCAGAGCCCAGUGUUACCUCUGCCUGGGGAGUCUCGGGGGGGGUGAUGAGGGUGGAGAUUAGCUCGGCUAGCGGAGAGAGCGAGGGAGUGAGGGGAGGGAUGGGAGAGGAGGAGGCACUGCCGUCCCUUCUCCUCCAUCCUUUAGGUCACAAACACAAACGUGUAGAGAGAGACUUCAGCUUGCUGAUGUACCACUACCAGAGUUUCAGGGAGGUGCCACGACUGCUAGACCUGGAUCUAACAGAGGGAGACCAUGACUUUCCUGAUGCAGGAGAAGAAGCCACACAUGCAGGCGGUGAGCGGACAAGAGAGGGACCACACCCAGGGACCAGGAGGGAGGAGGGCCACACAAGUCUCCCUCGGAGAUAGCCAAUGCUAGGUGAGAAGGACGCUACAUUCAUUCCAAUGGCAAGACCAAGGACCAGCAAAUCAGUUCUUUGUUCCCCUAAAGACCUCAGCCAAUCCCCUGCAUUUCAUGGCUCGUCUGCCAGUGACAGCAAGAAGUCAGAGUUCAGGAAGUCUCGAGGCAGCAGUCUCACCAGUCUGGGGGAAAGUACUGCGUCAGAGAGGAGGGGCUCCAAACUGCAGCCUGGGACCAGGAGAGUGUAAUCUCAGGUCAAUUACCUGAGAGACUGGAUCAAGCUUCCAUUACAUUUUUGACUGCUUAUUCACCUACCUGGUGUCUGCUGUGAAAGAAAAAAUGUCAUUACUUUUUGCACACUAUCCACCCAUUUCCUGUUCAUGACUGAAAACACAAUGUAAUUGCAUCUAACUUGUUUCCAAAACAUGUUCAACCAACAAAUAAAUAUCUGACACUCGUAUCCAUAGCUAGGUGGGACAACCACAUAUCAUAGGCAUAGUAAGUACAUUUUUCAGUAAAGUAGCUAUCAGUAAAGUCAGAGCUAGUAAGUGAGGAAAAAGUGUCUAGGUCUAUGCAUGUGAAAAAUAAUGUUGAAUAAUAAGAAUGUUGUUCAUUUAUCUUGACAAUUCAGCAAUAUCUUCUAAACCAGCAGUAAAUUGUCUCUCAAACCCUCUGUGUGAUAGGAUAGGAUAGGAUCAUCUCACCCGAGAUGUGGGCUCUGAGAGCGGUCACCUGACUCCUGCAGCACCCAGUCUCUUCCACCAGAUGGCCACAGCGAGCGAAUGACGGGGAUUUGGGCCUUGUCCGGUGUCUGAAGUAAAUCCUUCGCGUCCGACUCUGUAAAGAAAAAAACGUUGUCUAGUAUGAGUCUGUGUAGCCUGUCAGUUCCAGAGGAGCAGAACUCAGGGAAGCCCCAACACACACCCCCUCUCCCCUCCUCCUCCCCCUCACAAAGACCUCAGAGACCCCCCUCGCUGGAGCACAGUGGAGGCUCUCCUCUCAGCACCACAAGUCCACACUGUGUCAGGGGGACAGAGUGACCGUUCCACCUGAACACCCUAUCCCCAGCACUGCUACCAGCCAAGCCACUCCACCACUGCACCCUAUCACCAUGGCGAUCCCCCUCGGGCCCUGAGCUCUGGUCAGUUGACUAAUCGCAAUGAAGCCAUCCAGUCUCUAAAAGUGGAAGUGAGCAGACUGAAAGUGUGACUAGAGGGCAGUCUGAGACAGACCAACCCCCUCAGCCCAGAACGACCACACACAUCCUCUCAGCUCAACACAUUGCAUUAGACCGAAGGACGGAGAGAGAGACAGAGGCACCCGGCCACAUCCCCACAGAGAUGUGAGAGGCAUGUCCUUUGUAGCGCCGCCCCCUCCAUGCUGGGCAGUGUGCCGCUGUGCCAGUGUGCCCACCAGUUCUGUACUACUCCAGCCCAGUGAUAAAGGCAGCUCAAUCCCACCCCCAGUUCAUCUAUGUGUCUCUGAGUGGGGGUGUGGCCUCUGGGUUCAGGGGUCAAAGGUGGAGUGCCAAUAUUGCAAUAUCAAGUAUCAUAUAGAAACAACACAAAUUCAUCUCUUACUCAUGAAAUGCACUAGAAUCUGAAUAAUUUAUAUAUGAAUGAUUUACGUUUCAAAAUAACGGACAUAUGCUCAUUGUUUGUUUAAUUUGCUUUGAAACCUGGAAUAUUCUUUUUACAUUUGUUUUGUUACAUUUGAACAAUGACUGGUAUGGAUCUUCAGGUGAGGAGAUUAACUAUUCACACAUUGAUUUCUUCCAUUUGUUUACCCUAAUUGAUUGAUUCUAAAUGAUUUGUUUUGUAUUUUGUUCUUGAUCAUUUGUGUAUUGUGUGAAAUAUUUAGUUAAUAAGGUUAAUAAUUGGUGUCAGUGUUACUGUAGUGUAAACUUGUACACAUCAGGAAAAUAUUUUAUCCGAAGAUUGAACACAAAAAUGGGAUUUCAGAAAUGCAGAUUUGGAAAUCUAGAUUCUGGUAUCUGUUGUACCUUUGUACUGUGAUUGAUUAUCAAAUGAUUUUUGUUCAAAUAUUUUGUAGUAAAACAUUUGUAUUUCCGAUUUGAAGCCAAAUAAAUGUUGAUGUUAAGACAGAACACUUUAUAGCGUCACAU